rnacentral:rRNA from 1 species
UACGGGGGGGGCAAGCGUUGUUCGGAAUUACUGGGCGUAAAGGGCUCGUAGGCGGCCAACUAAGUCGGAUGUGAAAUCCCCGGGCUUAACCUGGGAACUGCAUUUGUGACUGCAAGGCUGGAGUGCGGCAGAGGGGGAUGGAAUUCCGCGUGUAGCAGUGAAAUGCGUAGAUAUGCGGAGGAACACCGAUGGCGAAGGCAAUCCCCUGGGCCUGCACUGACGCUCAUGCACGAAAGCGUGGGGAGCAAACAGG